rnacentral:tRNA from 1 species
GGCCGCGUAGCUCAAUUGGCUAGAGCGUUGGUUGCACUAUAGCCUUCCCCUUGCCGGCGUGGGUUCGAAUCACACCGAGGUCG